AUGGAUGAACAUGGAGGCAACCCAACAAACGGAGAAAACAAGCAUAAGACUUACAACGUGGACUCAAAGAAUGAGAAUGAAGAGACGACAGAGGAGACUGAGGACAAUCUGGAUAUGCUGGUGCCUCAUGAAGUGCCAACCGGAGUUCUGACUGUACAUAUAAAGGAUUGCAAAGUGUUUCCAAACAUCUUCUACACAAAAGACUUUCAGUUUUUUCUCAGGAUAUCUGUUGGUGGAAAGGAAAAGUGCACCAAGCUUCAAAGCAACAAAGAUGCCAGAGGAGGCAAAGCAGAUUUCUCACUUUGCUUUGAUGAGUGGAAAUACUUCUCCAUCCAGAUACCUGAGCAGAAUUCCAGAGCUGUGAAUCCCAAUCAAAUCAUGGUGGAGCUUCUUUUCUUUGAGCCAGCAGCAAGAGAUCCUAAACCAAUGGGCAGUGCUUUCUUCAAUGUGUUGAAAGUUCUCAAUGAAUCCAUUGUCACUCACCAGUUUAAUGUGAUGCUCAAUAAACAGGUAACCACUAGGUUUACUGUUGUUUGUGUGUUCUUUCUAACUUGCAAUUGCAAGUUCAUAUCCCACAAUUCUGAUGGGGAAAAAAAAGUCUGAAUCGCGAGACAUGAACUGGCAAAAAAAAAGAAAGAAAAAAAAACAGAAUUGUGAGAUUAUUUUCAUCAGUUUUGCUGAAAAUGUAGCCAUUUAUCAACGGCUAUGGCGUUUGUUCUAAUACGGUUUCUGAGGACACCAACUGGGAUAUGUUUUUUUUUUU
ensembl:lncRNA